GUGGGGAAUAUUGCACAAUGGGCGCAAGCCUGAUGCAGCAACGCCGCGUGAGGGACGACGGCCUUCGGGUUGUAAACCUCUUUUAGUAGGGAAGAAGCGAAAGUGACGGUACCUGCAGAAAAAGCACCGGCUAACUACGUGCCAGCAGCCGCGGUAAUACGUAGGGUGCAAGCGUUAUCCGGAAUUAUUGGGCGUAAAGAGCUCGUAGGCGGUUUGUCGCGUCUGCUGUGAAAACUGGAGGCUCAACCUCCAGCCUGCAGUGGGUACGGGCAGACUAGAGUGCGGUAGGGGAGAUUGGAAUUCCUGGUGUAGCGGUGGAAUGCGCAGAUAUCAGGAGGAACACCGAUGGCGAAGGCAGAUCUCUGGGCCGUAACUGACGCUGAGGAGCGAAAGCAUGGGGAGCGAACAGGAUUAGAUACCCUUGUAGUCC
rnacentral:rRNA from 1 species